GACGAACGCUGGCGGCGUGCUUAACACAUGCAAGUCGAACGGUAAGGCCCCAGCUUGCUGGGGUACACGAGUGGCGAACGGGUGAGUAACACGUGGGUGACCUGCCCCGCACUUCGGGAUAAGCCUGGGAAACUGGGUCUAAUACCGGAUAGGACCGCACCGUGAGGGUGUGGUGGAAAGUUUUUCGGUGUGGGAUGGGCCCGCGGCCUAUCAGCUUGUUGGUGGGGUAAUGGCCUACCAAGGCGGCGACGGGUAGCCGGCCUGAGAGGGUGGACGGCCACAUUGGGACUGAGAAACGGCCCAGACUCCUACGGGAGGCAGCAGUGGGGAAUAUUGCACAAUGGGCGGAAGCCUGAUGCAGCGACGCCGCGUGGGGGAUGACGGCCUUCGGGUUGUAAACUCCUUUCACCAUCGACGAAGGUUUUCUGACGGUAGAUGGAGAAGAAGCACCGGCUAACUACGUG
rnacentral:rRNA from 1 species